rnacentral:piRNA from 1 species
UGCAGAUUGAGUAUUUUGGUGCUAGU